UGUGCUCGCCAGGCUCACACCUGUGUCUACAGGAGCACUGUCGCGUGGCGCAUACGGGGCUGUGUUUCCUCCGAGUGUAUUUUCACGUUACAGAUCACCUUACCCUCAGAGAAGGGGGACUCCUUUUUGGGAAGAAAUAGGCUGUUUCUGUGCUCCUGAUGUGGGGGAUGGCAAGGAAGGCACCACCAGACUCCUGAGCUUUGCUCACGUCUGCAGUGGGGGUUAUGUGUCUGACCCAUUUAGCAGAGUUGCCAUGAGUUAGGGGAGGGUCAGAUGAGGUCUCCGCACGAUGAGGAGCACGCGGCAAGUGCUCAGUAAACGUUGGCCUGUGACAGGCUUGCAUGAGCCUGUGGGGGGGCGGGGAGACAGGAAGAUGACAUCCUUUCCCACUUGGUUCUUUCCGUGUUUUUCUUAGGAAGCCCGGUCCUGGGGCGGGGAGCUGCAGCCCCCCAGGGGCACCCUCCCUGCUCCUUCGCUUGAAUGGGCCUGGCCUUCGGUGGCACUGGCUGGGUCCGUGCCCGUGGCCACGACAGAACCACGACAGCGCAUUUUGCAGCUCCUCAGUGUGGAGGCUUAACUUCACCGGCUCCGGGAUUGUGGGGCCACCUCCUCCCACGACCGGGCCAUGUUUUCAUUCCUAACCGUCCUCACUAACCCAGAACACUUGGGAUUCUCUUGUCUCCAGCAGAACCCCAAACACCUCCCACCCUCUUGUUGGUCUAGUGGUUAAUUAAGUGUCUGUCAGUCACAGAAACCAGAGGCAGAUAUCAGAUGACUGUUCACUCAGCCUUUUCCCGAAAGGCCCUUCUAGGCUGGUUUCCUCUGCUCAGCACAGCAGCUCCUCCACCGCCUGUCCUCUCGGGCACGGGCACGGGCACGAGGGCGAUGGGCCUGGGGCUGUGAGCAGCUGCCGGGCCUCUCCUGGAGCCACGCGGGGAGCCAGGCUGCAGCAGGCGGCCCUAUCUGGGGGAGGCCAGAGGCAAGCCGCCUGCUCAUUAUUGGGCUGCCGUGAAAACUUCAGCCCUGGAGGUCUUUCCCAAACAGGAUAGGGUUUCAUCUCUCUGGAAUGUGUUAGGGCUGCGAGGCCUACCGUCCUCUCUGUCCAGAUGAAAUUCAUCUUCCAUGAAGGACUGGGCCCCACGUCUGAGCUCCACAGACUGCAUAGACCUCCACGAAUAGACCAUAGAGCUCCACUCCUGGCCGCGGAGACCAUGAAUGACUAUCUUUCCCAGGACUGAGCACUAGUCCUGGAUGUACUGUCUCUAGCAGAUUUCGAGCAAGGUGAGAGCAGCGGGGACAAGGCUCUGCAGGGGUGCUCCUUAGAGCAGCCCCACCUCCUCUUCUUUAAUCCUGCCCCUGCCCCUUCCCAGAGGCAGGUGCUCCCACACCUGGCUUACCUGGGUUCCCAGGAAGGAAAGGUACACCCAUGGCUUUCCAUCUUGCUCUGCCAGUGGCUCUGUGGCUCUGCCAGCCCCACAGGUCAGCACCUGUUUCCCACACUGACUCAGAUCUCAGCUUCCUUCCUGACAAAUAGCACACGUGGCAGCCCCAAUCCUGGGCUUGGUCUGCUCAGCGGUUUUCACCCCUCAACUGAUGGACAAAUGUUGGGACUUUUCGAUCUGGGACUCUGAUGGUUUCAUAGCAGAGGGAAGAGAGACACGAUGAAUCACUCACUGAUCCUUAAAACUUCUGUCUGGAAGUGACACCUGUCAUUUCUGCUCAUGUUUCAUUGGCUGAUGCAAGUCAUAUGGCUGAGCCUAAACUCCCCCUGGGAGAGUAAAGGAUAAUUCUCCUCUAAUGAACAGUAAUAAAGUCUACCGUAAAAAAAGGC